UACGUAGGGAGCAAGCGUUGUCCGGAAUCAUUGGGCGUAAAGCGCGCGUAGGUGGUCCCGUAAGUCCGCUGUGAAAGUCAAAGGCUCAACCUUUGAAAGCCGGUGGAUACUGUGGGACUAGAGUACGGAAGAGGCGAGUGGAAUUCCUGGUGUAGCGGUGGAAUGCGCAGAUAUCAGGAGGAACACCAAUAGCGAAGGCAGCUCGCUGGGACGUUACUGACACUGGAGGCGCGAAAAGCGUGGGGGAGCGAACAGG
rnacentral:rRNA from 1 species